rnacentral:lncRNA from 1 species
CAAGUAAAAAAUGAAUCAAAUUUGUUCAAUCACCUAAAUGGUAGAAGUUAAAGAGAACCCAAGAAAGAUAAAUGAUAUCCCUUGAACCUAAUCCAAACAAGCACCAAGAACAAUUGAAAUAGGAAAUCAAAAUUUAAAUACAAAUGAUAACAAUUGUAUUCCAAAUUAACACCUUGUGCAUAAAGUGAAAAGAAAGCCAAAACACUCUUAACUCAAUUCUAAAAUAUUUGAUUACAACUCUUGAUAUCCACAAAGGAGUUCCUUUGGUAUUUAUA